GUUUCUGGUUUGUUGUCCGGUCUCAUCAAGACUAAACCAGGCUGGCUUGGGAAGUGUGAUGCCAAGUCCCCAAAUGAGAAUAUCUAGGCCAAGACAGAUCACUGCUCAAUGUUUCUUUGCCUGUCUGGUUCAGGGAACUAGAAAGCUCUAAAGCAGAAACGAGCCUGGCAUAUUCAUGGAAUGAAAAGAAUGCCAGUGUCGUGGUCGUGGUCGAGGGCAAGGCCAAGGACAGCUGAUAAACUGCUUCAAAAUUUUAUUUCUGGCCCAGCCUUGGCGGCACAGAUGGUAAUGUACAGAACUGCAAUGCUGGAAGCCAUACGGCCUACUGUGGGUUCAAAUCCCUGUUCAACCU